ensembl:lncRNA
GUGUCUAUCAUUUCUAUGCGUGUGCGUCUGAAGAUGCCGUGUGCAAAGUUUGGUGUCGAUUGGUCAAGAAAUGUGGGAGCAGUAGGGAAAAAACAGUUUUGCGGUUUUCGCGAUUUUGCGAAAAAAAAUUCCAGACGCAAAUGGGCGUGGCCUAUGCCAAAAGAUGCAGCAGACUCCAGUGAAUAUGUGCGUACAAGUUUUUGGACUGUGGGAGGUUCGGUGUGGGAGCUAUUGCCCCAAACGUGUUUCUCCUUGGUAUAGCGCCACCUAGUGGCCGGCAUGUCUGGAUUUGGUUAUCUGAGUAGCGGUGCCGAUUCUGGAUCUAGUCAUGCAAUUGGCGCGUGUGCACCAUUUACGGUUUGGG